UACGGGAGGCAGCAGUGGGGAAUAUUGCACAAUGGGCGCAAGCCUGAUGCAGCCAUGCCGCGUGUAUGAAGAAGGCCUUCGGGUUGUAAAGUACUUUCAGUCGUGAGGAAGGUGUUAAGGUUAAUAACCUUAGCAAUUGACGUUAGCGACAGAAGAAGCACCGGCUAACUCCGUGCCAGCAGCCGCGGUAAUACGGAGGGUGCGAGCGUUAAUCGGAAUUACUGGGCGUAAAGGGCACGCAGGCGGUUAAUUAAGUUGGAUGUGAAAUCCCCGGGCUUAACCUGGGAAUGGCAUUCAAGACUGGUUAGCUAGAGUCCUGUAGAGGGGGUAGAAUUCCAUGUGUAGCGGUGAAAUGCGUAGAGAUGUGGAGGAAUACCGGUGGCGAAGGCGGCCCCUGGCAAAGACUGACGCUCAUGUGCGAAAGCGUGGGGAGCAAACAGGGAUUAGAUACC
rnacentral:rRNA from 1 species